rnacentral:rRNA from 1 species
UACGUAGGGCGCGAGCGUUGUCCGGAAUUAUUGGGCGUAAAGAGCUCGUAGGCGGCCUGUUGCGUCCGCUGUGAAAUCCCAGGGCUCAACCCUGGGCGUGCAGUGGAUACGGGCAGGCUGGAGGCAGGCAGGGGAGAACGGAAUUCCCAGUGUAGCGGUGAAAUGCGUAGAUAUUGGGAGGAACACCAGUGGCGAAGGCGGCUCACUGGACCAUAACUGACGCUGAUGCACGAAAGCUAGGGGAGCAAACAGG